rnacentral:rRNA from 1 species
AACGAACGCUGGCGGCAUGCCUAACACAUGCAAGUCGAACAAGACCUUCGGGUCUAGUGGCGCACGGGUGCGUAACGCGUGGGAACCUGCCCUUAGGUUCGGAAUAACUCCCCGAAAGGGGUGCUAAUACCGGAUAAUGUCUUCGGACCAAAGAUUUAUCGCCUUUGGAUGGGCCCGCGUUGGAUUAGCUAGUUGGUAGGGUAAAAGCCUACCAAGGCGACGAUCCAUAGCUGGUCUGAGAGCAUGGUCAGCCACACUGGGACUGGGACACGGCCCAGACUCUACGGGAGGCAGCAGUGGGGAAUAUUGGACAAUGGGCGAAAGCCUGAUCCAGCAAUGCCGCGUGAGUGAUGAAGGCCUGAGGGUUGUAAAGCUCUUUUACCCGGGAUGAUAAUGACAGUACCGGGAGAAUAAGCUCCGGCUAACUCCGUG